UACGUAGGUGGCAAGCGUUAUCCGGAAUUAUUGGGCGUAAAGAGUGCGCAGGUGGUUGAUUAAGUCUGAUGUGAAAGCCCACGGCUUAACCGUGGAGGGUCAUUGGAAACUGGUCGACUUGAGUGCAGAAGAGGGAAGUGGAAUUCCAUGUGUAGCGGUGAAAUGCGUAGAGAUAUGGAGGAACACCAGUGGCGAAGGCGGCUUCCUGGUCUGUAACUGACACUGAGGCGCGAAAGCGUCGGGAGCAAACAGGAUUAGAUACCCCGGUA
rnacentral:rRNA from 1 species